CUUAACACAUGCAAGUCGAGGGGCAGCAUUUUAGUUUGCUUGCAAACUAAAGAUGGCGACCGGCGCACGGGUGAGUAACACGUAUCCAACCUGCCGAUAACUCGGGGAUAGCCUUUCGAAAGAAAGAUUAAUAUCCGAUAGUAUAUUAAAACCGUAUGGUUUUACUAUUAAAGAAUUUCGGUUAUCGAUGGGGAUGCGUUCCAUUAGUUUGUUGGCGGGGUAACGGCCCACCAAGACUACGAUGGAUAGGGGUUCUGAGAGGAAGGUCCCCCACAUUGGAACUGAGACACGGUCCAAACUCCUACGGGAGGCAGCAGUGAGGAAUAUUGGUCAAUGGACGAGAGUCUGAACCAGCCAAGUAGCGUGAAGGAUGACUGCCCUAUGGGUUGUAAACUUCUUUUAUAUGGGAAUAAAGUAUUCCACGUGUGGGAUUUUGUAUGUACCAUAUGAAUAAGGAUCGGCUAACUCCGUGCCAGCAGCCGCGGUAAUACGGAGGAUCCGAGCGUUAUCCGGAUUUAUUGGGUUUAAAGGGAGCGUAGGUGGAUUGUUAAGUCAGUUGUGAAAGUUUGCGGCUCAACCGUAAAAUUGCAGUUGAAACUGGCAGUCUUGAGUACAGUAGAGGUGGGCGGAAUUCGUGGUGUAGCGGUGAAAUGCUUAGAUAUCACGAAGAACUCCGAUUGCGAAGGCAGCUCACUAGACUGCAACUGACACUGAUGCUCGAAAGUGUGGGUAUCAAACAGGAUUAGAUACCCUGGUAGUCCACACAGUAAACGAUGAAUACUCGCUGUUUGCGAUAUACAGUAAGCGGCCAAGCGAAAGCAUUAAGUAUUCCACCUGGGGAGUACGCCGGCAACGGUGAAACUCAAAGGAAUUGACGGGGGCCCGCACAAGCGGAGGAACAUGUGGUUUAAUUCGAUGAUACGCGAGGAACCUUACCCGGGCUUAAAUUGCAUUUGAAUAAUCUGGAAACAGGUUAGCCGCAAGGCAAAUGUGAAGGUGCUGCAUGGUUGUCGUCAGCUCGUGCCGUGAGGUGUCGGCUUAAGUGCCAUAACGAGCGCAACCCUUAUCUUUAGUUACUAACAGGUCAUGCUGAGGACUCUAGAGAGACUGCCGUCGUAAGAUGUGAGGAAGGUGGGGAUGACGUCAAAUCAGCACGGCCCUUACGUCCGGGGCUACACACGUGUUACAAUGGGGGGUACAGAAGGCAGCUACCUGGCGACAGGAUGCUAAUCCCAAAAACCUCUCUCAGUUCGGAUCGAAGUCUGCAACCCGACUUCGUGAAGCUGGAUUCGCUAGUAAUCGCGCAUCAGCCAUGGCGCGGUGAAUACGUUCCCGGGCCUUGUACACACCGCCCGUCAAGCCAUGAAAGCCGGGGGUACCUGAAGUACGUAACCGCAAGGAGCGUCCUAGGGUAAAACUGGUAAUUGGGCC
rnacentral:rRNA from 1 species